UACGUAGGGUGCGAGCGUUGUCCGGAAUUAUUGGGCGUAAAGAGCUUGUAGGCGGUUUGUCGCGUCUGCUGUGAAAUUUCGGGGCUCAACCCCGAACUUGCAGUGGGUACGGGCAGACUAGAGUGUGGUAGGGGAGACUGGAAUUCCUGGUGUAGCGGUGAAAUGCGCAGAUAUCAGGAGGAACACCGGUGGCGAAAGCGGCUUCCUGGUCCAGCACCGACGUUCAGGCACGAAAGCGUGGGGAGCAAACAGG
rnacentral:rRNA from 1 species